rnacentral:rRNA from 1 species
CCUACGGGAGGCGGCAGUGGGGAAUAUUGGACAAUGGGCGAAAGCCUGAUCCAGCAAUGCCGCGUGAGUGAUGAAGGCCUUAGGGUCGUAAAGCUCUUUUACCAGGGAUGAUAAUGACAGUACCUGGAGAAUAAGCUCCGGCUAACUCCGUGCCAGCAGCCGCGGUAAUACGGAGGGAGCUAGCGUUGUUCGGAAUUACUGGGCGUAAAGCGUGCGUAGGCGGUUAUUCAAGUUAGAGGUGAAAGCCCGGGGCUCAACCCCGGAACGGCCUUUGAAACUAGAUAACUAGAAUCUUGGAGAGGUCAGUGGAAUUCCGAGUGUAGAGGUGAAAUUCGUAGAUAUUCGGAAGAACACCAGUGGCGAAGGCGACUGACUGGACAAGUAUUGACGCUGAGGUACGAAAGCGUGGGGAGCAAACAGGAUUAGAUACCCUGGUAGUCCACGCCGUAAACGAUGAUAACUAGCUGUCCGGACACUUGGUGUUUGGGUGGCGCAGCUACGACAUUAAGUUAUCCGUCCGUCGGGUAGGUACGGUCGGCGAAGAAUUAAAACUAACAAAUAGAAGUUAGUACGGCGUGAGACGUGCCGAACGGACGACCGACCGAGGGGAGGUAGG